rnacentral:snRNA from 1 species
CUCGCUUCUCGGCUUUCUAUGAGCUAAGAUCAAGCGUAGUAUCUGUUCUUAUCAGUUUAAUAUCUGAUAUGUCCUUUAUUUGAGGACUGUAUAUUAAAUUAAUUUUAUCUCAGUUAAC